CCUACGGGAGGCUGCAGUGAGGAAUAUUGGUCAAUGGGCGCGAGCCUGAACCAGCCAAGUAGCGUGAAGGAUGACUGCCCUACGGGUUGUAAACUUCUUUUAUAAAGGAAUAAAGUGAGGCACGUGUGCCCUUCUGGAGGUACUUUAUGAAUAAGGAUCGGCUAACUCCGUGCCAGCAGCCGCGGUAAUACGGAGGAUCCGAGCGUUAUCCGGAUUUAUUGGGUUUAAAGGGAGCGUAGGUGGGUUGUUAAGUUAGUUGUGAAAGUUUGCGGCUUAACCGUAAAAUUGCAAUUGAUACUGGCGGUCUUGAGUGCAGUUGCGGUAGGCGGAAUGCGUGGUGUAGCGGUGAAAUGCUUAGAUAUCACGAAGAACUCCGAUUGCGAAGGCAGCUUACUAAACUGCCACUGACGUUGAUGCUCGAAAGUGUGGGUAUCAAACAGGAUUAGAUACCCGUGUAGUC
rnacentral:rRNA from 1 species